AUAUAUUAAAUUUGUUUAGGUACUUACCUACGAGGUAAACGGGAAGUCGGUGCAAAUCCGACACUGCCCCCGCAACGGUAAAUAAGGUAAGGUCAAUCAUAAAUGCCACUGUGUUUAAAAAAACGUGGGAAGGCGAUUGACUGAGGUUUAUACCUACUUAUUAAGUCCGGAAACCUGCCUAAACAGUAUGAUGAUA
rnacentral:ncRNA from 2 species